rnacentral:rRNA from 1 species
GCAGCCACUCAUUCAAAGAGUGCGUAAUAGCUCACUGGUCGAGUGAUCCUGCGCCGAAGAUUUCCGGGGCUAAAACUUACUACCGAAGCUACGGCAUCAGUAAUGAUGGGUAGGGGAGCUUCCCAUACGGGUUGAAGCAUGACCGUAAGGACAUGUGGACAGUAUGGGAGUGAGAAUGUUGGCAUGAGUAGCGAGAUGUGGGUGAGAAUCCCACAGGCCGUAAACCCAAGGUUUCCAGGGGAAGGUUCGUCCGCCCUGGGUUAGUCGGGACCUAAGCUGAGGCCGAAAGGCGUAGGUGAUGGACAACAGGUUGAUAUUCCUGUACUACCGAUAACCGUUUGAGAGAAGGGAUGACACAGUAGGAUAAGCUAAGCACACUGUUGGUUAUGUGUGCCCAAGCAUUGAGGCAGUCAAAGUAGGCAAAUCCGCUUUGAUAAUGCUGGGGUGUGAUGGGGAGCGAAAUUUAGUAGCGAAGUAGCUGAUUUCACACUGUCAAGAAAAGUCUCUAUCGAGGUUAAAGGUACCCGUACCGCAAACCGACACAGGUGGGUGAGGAGAGUAUCCUAAGGCCAGCGAGAGAACUGUUGUUAAGGAACUCGGAAAAAUGACCCCGUAACUUAGGGAUAAGGGGUGCCACCAUCAGGUGGCCGCAGAGAAUAGGCCCAAGCGACUGUUUACCAAAAACAUAGGUUUCUGCGAAGUCGCAAGACGAUGUAUAGGAGCUGACGCCUGCCCGGUGCUGGAAGGUUAAGGGGAUCUGUUAGAGCAAUCGAAGCAGUGAACUUAAGCC